AACUGAAAGGAGAAGAGGGAAGGGAGGCUGUGAUCCAGAUAUAAGUAAAUAAAUUUUAAAAAUAGAAAUAAAUAAAAUUAGAAAUAAAAAGUACAAGAAAAAGGUAAAGUAAAAUUAAAUUAAAAAUAAAAAUUUAAAAGCAGGGACUGGAGAGAUGGAUCAGUGGUUACGAACACUUUUUCUUUUUUCUUUUUUUUUUAAGAUUUACUUAUUAUACAUAAGUACACUGUAGCCGUCUUCAGACACACCAGAAGAGGGCAUCAAAUCUCAUUACAGAUGGUUGUGAACCACCAUGUGGUUGCUGGGAAUUGAACUCAAGACCUCUGGGAGAGCAGUCAGUGCUCUUAACCACUGAACCAUCUCUCCAGUGCCAAGAACACUUUUUCUUAUAAGAGUAUUUCCCAAGCACCCACAUGGUAGCUCACUGCUGUCUAUAACUCCAGUUUCAGAGGAUCCAAUGCCCUCUUUGAUCUCCAUAGGCACCAGGCAUGUAUGUGGUACACAUAUAUACAUGCAGACAAAAUAUUCAUAAACACUAACAAUAAAUCUAUAAAUAAAUAAAUAAUAAAAAAUUUUAGAACAAAAAUGAAUUCUUGUUUGUUGACAUAGGGUCUCAGGUAGCCCAAGCUAGCCUGGAGUUUACUAUGUAGCCCAAGGUGACCUUAAAUUUCUGAUCUCCAGCCUCCACCUCUCAAGUGUCAGUAACAACCAAAUUUCUUCAUGGCAUGGCAUGAAUAUAUACUAGAUAAAAUUAUCAAUACAAAAAGGCUUCUAAAGUGCUAGUCUUCUCUGGUAAGAGGCUUAUGUGGUAUUUAAUAGAAACUCAACCUCUCAUUAUGAGGAAUGAACGCACAUAACCAGCAAUACCAAUGGCAAUAGCAUGCAGGUACACAUAGGAGACCCCUGGGAAAUCCACAGGAGGACAGCUGCAGAAUAAAGAUGAAUUCAGUUAUGGGAAGCUUGGUUCCUUUCGAGGUGUGAGUAUCAAGAAGCCCGUCAGCCUCAGCUCUUCUUUGGCGUUCGUUCCCUACUCCACUCCAGUAGCUGUGUGCACUGCAAGCCUGCAGCUACCCAGAAAAUGCCUCUGGACCACUAAGCUCUUGUCGCUUUGUCCUGGAAGUCAGAUGGCCAGCUUCCCCCCCUCCCCGCCCCCAACCAGGCUAGGCAUCUGACCAGAGUUACAGAUGUGGGUGGCUAAGCCUGUGAGGCUGAUUCUCUCAGAAAGAUGGAUUGCCCUCACCCAUCCACUGCCAGCUUACUCACUCAGGCCCUGAGGUCUGGGGAUAGGCUGCAGGAGGCUCCAGACUGUGAUGAUGCACAUGGAAAAGAAUGCAGUCCAUGGGCAGCUGUAAGCCAGAGCCUGUGCAUGACAUGGCUUCUCCACAAGUGCCUACUCUAAGGGCUCCAAGCAUUCUAGCCAGGCCACGGGGCAGCAGGUGUGAGCUGCAAACACAGGAAGGAACAAACAAGCUCUACAGCAGCCGCCCAGUCAGAGACCCUUCUACCUCAUCAUUCGUUCAGGAAUGAGAAAGUUAGACCCUUUAUCCCUGGACGGCCACCAGAGUAUCUCCAUCUCAUCAUCCUCUCAGCUAGGAAGCUUUCCUGGGACCCAGGAGCAUGUGCUUGGGGCCUGGGCAUACGAAGCACUUGCUUGGCAUGUGUGAGGCCCUGUUGAGUUCCUAGCCAUGG
rnacentral:lncRNA from 1 species